rnacentral:rRNA from 1 species
GAUUAACGCUAGCGGCAGGCAUAAUACAUGCCAGUUGAACGGCAGCACAGGUAGCAAUACUGGGUGGCGAGUGGCGCACGGGUGCGUAACACGUAUGCAACCUACCCUAUACAGGCGAAUAACCUUUAGAAAUGAGGGCUAAUACGCCGUAGUAUUACAGAUGGGCAUCUAUUUGUAAUUAAGGAUUUAUCGGUAUAGGAUGGGCAUGCGUCCCAUUAGUUAGUUGGUAAGGUAACGGCUUACCAAGACGAUGAUGGGUAGGGGAUCUGAGAGGACUUACCCCCACACUGGUACUGGGACACGGACCAGACACCUACGGGAGGCAGCAGUAAGGAAGACUGCGCAAUGGCCGCGAGGCUGACCCAGCCAUGCCGCGUGCAGGAAGACGGCCUUAUGGGUUGUAAACUGCUUUUAUACGGGAAUAAUAGAGUGUACGCGUACAUUUAUGCAAGUAUCGUAUGAAUAAGCAUCGGCUAACUCCGUG